GCAUCCAUGGCUGAAUGGUGAAAGCGCCCACCAACCUAGAAAAGGCAAAAUGGGUCAAAAAGUAGGUUCGAUUUCCUGUCGGAUGCA
rnacentral:tRNA from 1 species